ACUUCCUUUGUAUUAAGCUGUGUUUCCUUAGGUUAAAAUUUAACCUAGUUUUAUCCUUAUAAAUUCACUACCUUUACGCCCUAACAUAUCAUAUACCAUCAACCUUUUGCAACCUUAUCCUUUCAAAAAACAUUUUUUUCGUUGCCUCCCCCUUAAAUAACCAUCACUACUGGCCGAACAUCCCUCCGCAACCAAAGCCGCACAUCACCACACCACCCUACCUGUACCCUUCGUUGUUGCAACCCUUCACCGCUAGUCACCUCUCACUGUCACAUACCCUGGUUGUUGCACCACCAAAUUCCAUCCUUUGCAACCCCAAAGAACCACACUCCCAAUCACCCUAACCAACGCCAUCAGACCACCACUUCGUCGGCACUACCACCAUUACUGAACACCUCAUUGACUCGAAUCCCAUCAAUUUUCCACAACUCUCGAGCCUGCACACCAAUUAUUCGUAUAAUGUCUCGAAAAAAGAAAAAAGUUACACAUCCUAAUCCGAUGAUCUCCAAAGUUGAUUCCAUAUCGAAGAAGCAAGGGAGAGGUUUAAAUUUAUCUUCAAAAAUCAACCGAUGCUUCUGGACAAAGGAUUUAGCUUGACAAAUGGUGCCUGCACAACAAUGCUACCAAUCUUCAAAAGACAAUAUAUGCAUUGAGGUGGAAUUUAUUUUAUGAUGUCAGACCACCUCUGAAAGAAGAAUUAGUUUAGGAAUUCUAUGUGAACCUGACUUUAUCCACUGCAAAAGAGGUAUAUGUUCGAGGAAAGAAGGUAACCCUAACCUCGACUUAUAUUAAUGAUCUGCUUGAACAACCUAACAUCGAUAAUGACGAUUAUAUUGCUAUGUUGAAAAAUGUUGAUUGGGAGAUGCUUAGGGAAGUUCUGCAAGAAGUUACGGUUCCUGGAACCAAAUGGAUAACUUCAAAUUUUGGUAAUAUUAUUUGCUGAAGGGAGUUCCUAAAACCAAUAGAAAAUGUUUGGUUCUAUUUCCUUUUAACUUAGUUUUAUGCCUGUCUCACAUAGUUCUACUAUCUCUAUGGAACAGAUGCUCUUGUUGUAUGCUAUUAUGACAGAAAGGUUCAUUGAUGUUGGAAGAAUCAUCCUUAAGGAAAUUCAGAAGUGUACUGCAAAGCAAGCUAGUUAUGUCUGUUUCCCAUCAUUAAUCACUUUACUCUAUCUACAAUCUCACAUCCCUCCGAAGAUCUGAUAUAGCCAGAAUAGUAGGUGAUGAUGCUAGGUAGAAGCAAGCAGAACCAUUUGAUGAACCAACUAGAGUAGAAACGCCCAAUUAUCCAGAUAUGUCGGAAUCAGUUCUUGAACUAGAACCAACUACCUAUCUUGACUUUGCAACACCAACUGAACCUGUUAAUCCCGGAUUUUGCCUUUGAUCCUUGGACUCUAACUCCGGAUACUAGGCAUGAUGAUUUCACCACUCCGGAAAGACGAACUAGGCGCAAAGACGGUUGUGAAGAAAUGGAAACAAUAUUGAAAAGUGAGGAUGCUACUAAAUAAAUAAAUGGGGUUUCUUUUUCUUUAUUAUUUUAGGAUAUUUUAGGUUUAGUUACUUUUUAGAUAUUUUUGCUUUCAUUUUUCCCUUUUUUGCAUAAUAAAAUUAAGUUAAAUUCAUAAAUAAUAAAGAGUUGAUUAUAGUAUGGUUAUCAUAAAAGAAGAAGUGUGGCAAUGUGAAUGUGCAUGCUUAAGAUUGACUCUGUCAAGGAAAGACUAGAUAUUUAAGAAGACAAAUAAGACUCACUUCCCUUUCCUAGGACAUUACCUGAUGCACAAUUCUCAUUCACUUCUUUAUUUUUUGUCCUUUUGAUUGAUGCUUUCAAACAAUGAGGACAUUGUUUCUCUUUAGUGAGAGGGGGGAGGAAUAUUGUAAUAUGAGUUAAUUAAUUUUUUUCAUGAAAGUAUGUUUUAAGUGAAAUUUGCUUAAAUUUUAAAAUUUUGCUCAAUAA